UUAUUAUUUUUCAUUGCUAGCUGGGGAACUUGAACAUAAAAUGUUUAUUUACACCAUGCCACACAGCGGGGCAUAUCUGUUACUAUGUUACUGGAAAUAAAGCCGACCCAGCUGUCUUCACAGGUGAUACAUUAUUUAGCGGAGGUUGUGGAAGAUUUUUUGAAGGUACACCUCCACAGAUGUAUUCAGCACUGAUUGAAAUCCUUUCUUCCUUGCCUGGUGAAACUCGAGUGUUUUGUGGACAUGAAUACACUACUGCUAACCUGAAAUUUGCUAUACAUACUGAACCAGACAAUGUUGAUAUACAAAAUAAGAUCAAAUCAGCUCAGAAUCUGAGAGACAAUAGUCUACCAACUAUACCUUCAACAAUUGAUGAGGAGAAGAAAAUUAAUCCUUUUAUGAGAGUUCAAUGUGAAAGUGUUAAGAAACAUUGUGGAUGUACUGACCCAAUUGAAGUGAUGGGGUACUUAAGGAAAGAAAAAGAUACCUUCAAACCAACUUGACUGUCAGAUGAAUUAUGAAUUUUUUAAUUCACCUUGUCAAUUACAAUGAAGACAACUUCAACUUGAUGAUUAUUAAAGCCCCUUGUCACACAUGCACCUUACACUGAAAACAAUGAAAGGAAGAAACAACAUGACAGUCUAUUCUGCUAUAUUGUCACAUUCUGACAUUUGAUAGAUGAACAUGUAUAAGAUCCUGUAUGUAGUAAUUAAGGAUGUAACAACACACAAGUGAAAUUUUAAAUCUGUUUAUGAUUAUUCUUCUAAAAUAAUUUCCAAACAUCCAAGAAUAUGUUAAAUAUGUUCUAUAAAUGUUUAUUCGCAUAAAUGAUUAAUUAUAUGUAAUUAUUAAAAUGUUUGCAUUAAUUUCUUAUUGUUAAAUUUAGGCUAAACUUUAUCGAAAAUAAAUUUCUAAUUACCUCCCUUUAUUUACAUGAAAUGUAAAUUCGGUAAUAUCUUUAUAAAUAAUGCUUUUUUGAACUUACUCAAAUUAAGAUUUAACAAUAAUGAUAAAUCUUAAUUUGAGUAUCAUAUUUUUGAUAUAAAACCAUAAAAAAAUUGAGUUACAGGAUCUUUUACAUGGUGAACAUAUUAACGUGUAAAAAUGAUAUGUGAUUUAAAAUUAUGUGAUGAAAUAACAACAUGAUAUAAGUUUGUGUAUAUAUAACUUGUAACUGAGUUCAGUUUCUGUAUUUUCCAGUGCUGAUUAUUGGCUAUUACAUAAACAGAAUUUUCUUGCAACAACUUUAGCUCCAUUCCUAUGUUAUUUUCAUUGUACAAUUUUUUAUAUAUACAUGAAAAAAUCUAACCAUUGAAAAUAAAUAGCUGUAAAUCAUGA